CUUUUGAGUUAUAAAAUGCCUUGGUUUAACCGCUGGUCUGAGGAGAAUCAUCUGUUAAAGAAUAUUACAUAAGCAUACUUAAACCAAUUAAUAUAGGAUAGGUUUCCAAAACAAUACAUUUCGAUUGAAAAAAAACAAAACUCUUGCCGUCUCAACACUCUCGCCGUUUCAAACUUCUCGAAUCUCACUCGUCUCCGCCUCUCGAAUCUCUCUCUCAUCUCCAUAUCUCUCGAUCUCCGACGAAAACCCAUCUCCAGAAACUCUCUCUCUCUCUCGAUCUUUUACGCGAGCUCUCUCUAUUCUCCGAGAAAAACCAUUUCUAGAGCUCUAUCUCUUGAAGGUAUGUUGCAGAUUCAACCUUAUGUGUGUUUUCUUUCUGAGAGAUUGGUCUCCUGGUUUUUGCUUGUGUAUAGACUUGCUCGUUUUAACCUAAUAUGCAUGUGUAUAGACUUCAGGAAGGAUUUGUAUUGUUUCAGGAAACCAACACCUAAUAAAAUUUUUCUUGUUUACGCAGGAUAGAAACAAGAUGGGAGAUCCAUUACCAUUAAGACUAGCACUGCCUGAGCUGAGGUAUCCGAUUGGAUCAGAGCCAGAGAAGACGAUAUCGAUAAACCAACACUCGAUAGUUGCUUAUAUCAAAACUGUUAAGGAAAUUCUAGGAAAUGAUGAGUUCAACAGAAUAAGAGGGACGUUUUUGGGACCGGUGAUCAAGCUUGGAGAGAGGUCUUUGAAAUUAUCAGCUAAGAUAGUGCACGCAGUUCUCACCAAAAGCAUCAAGACAGUGAAGAGACACGAAGCAUGGUUCCAUUUUGGUGCUCAGCCAAUGAGGUUCUCUAUAAGAGAAUUCCACAUGGUGACUGGUUUGAAAUGUAGUGGUGAAGCAAGAGAACCACGAGAGGGAACCGAGAAAUUUAAGUGGGACUUCCUAAAAGGGCGUACUCAUACAGUAAAGGACGUGGAGAAGCAGCUCAGAAACACAAGAGAAGAUGCUUCUGAUGAGAGAUUCUGCCUUGCAAUGCUCCUCCUGAUUGAGAGCAUACUACUACAGAAGAGCCUUCUCGACGGUGGCACAACUUUUACUUUGGAUUAUGUGAAAAUAGCGCAGGAUAUGGAUGUCUUGAUGACAUACCCAUGGGGGAGAACAGCUUAUAAUUUGCUGUUAAAAUCACUUCAGAGAGCUGUCGACAAAAGCCUCGACAAAAACAAUUAUGAUUUGCAAGGGUUCCCUAUGGCAUUUCUUAUAUGGAUACUUGAGUCAGUACCUUUGCUACAGUAUGCAUUCAGUCAAGUUGUUCCUAUUCUGAGCGUUCAACCGUCUACCCCAAUAUUUUUGUGUGAGAAGUACCUUCAAAUAGCUUCUCCACAGCUGAUAGAUGUUCUCCUAAUUGAAAUCAAAGAUCAUCUUAAGGUCACAUGCAUCCUACCUCCUAUUUCUAAUGAUCCAGAAGCUGAUGUUUGCAUGGAAGACGAAGCUAAUAAAGAUCUGGAUGACAUGGCCGAUUUAUCCAAGAGAGGUUAUAAGUUUAAAAUUAGAGAUUGGCGAAACAUGUCAGUAGACCUAUACGGUGCUAAUGAAGAAAUAAGAAGAGCAUCUUUACUGUUUGGGAAUGGAGGGAUGAGUCAAGCUUCUACUUCGUAUCAGGAGGAGUCUUUGGAAUCAAAGAUCAACAGAAUCAGCGAGAUGGUGGGAGAUAAUUUAAGGAUCAUGAACGAUCGUUUGUGUUUGAUUGAAAAAGACAGGAAACAGAUUAAAGAACGUGUGACAAAACUAGAGAAACUACAAAGAGUUACUUCAUAUGGAACUCCAAACAAUGAGACUGACACAACUCCAUUUCAUGAGACGGCUUCCAGACAAGGUGAAGCCAAUGCAGAUCAAGCAGAUGAACAACUUAACAAUGAGGAUACACGAGAGCCUAUGAAUGAGAUCACGAAAGAGACACCUGGUUCUCCAAUAGCUCAACAGAAUAUUGAGACUCCAGUCCUUACUCCAAUUCAGACGCAGCAGGAGACUCACGAGCUUAUGAAUGAGAUCAUUUCACCAAACAUUUCCGACACACAGCCAAAUACCCGAGCUCGCAGAAAUCUUUUAACAGAGCAAAAUAAGGAUGUAGAAAGCAGAGUUCAAAAUCCCUUUGAGAUCGGAGCAAAUGUGGAGAUUUCAUCACAAGAUGACAAUACUUGUCAUAAAUGGUAUCCAGGAAAUGUGUUGAAAACAUAUUUGGUUGAUGGGGUUGAGACGAUGAAAGUUGAGUACUCCAUCCCGUCUCUGGACGAAAAGAAGAGGAAAAGGAGUGUUGAGACACGUGUAUCAAUUGACAGAAUACGUCCUCAACCACCACCUGAGAGAACUGGAGCGAAGAAAAGUUAUGAGCUAAUGAAGGUGCGCUAGAAAAGUUAAAGUCAUUUUGUUUGAUGGCUUGUGUUUUGUCGCUUUGAACAAUUGUAAAAAAGAAAUUUACUUCCACCAUUCUGAGAUUCGAAAACCAAGAAAAUGGGUAGAUGGUGUUUGGGAGAUGACAAAAAAGAAGGAAGAAGAGCAGACGCAGAGUGUGAAUCCAAGUGAAGGAGAUGGUGAUAAAAAGGUAUGAAAUAUUUAUACAUCAUACUAGGAAUUAAGAUAUAAAUGUAUCUGAAUUUUUGUCAUUCAAAAAGGG